rnacentral:rRNA from 1 species
AAGCCUGACGCAGCGACGCCGCGUGGGGGAUGACGGCCUUCGGGUUGUAAACCUCUUUCAGCAGGGACGAAGCGAAAGUGACGGUACCUGCAGAAGAAGCACCGGCCAACUACGUGCCAGCAGCCGCGGUAAUACGUAGGGUGCAAGCGUUGUCCGGAAUUAUUGGGCGUAAAGAGCUCGUAGGCGGUUCGUCGCGUCGGCUGUGAAAUCCCGGAGCUCAACUCCGGGCCUGCAGUCGAUACGGGCGGACUUGAGUUCGGCAGGGGAGACUGGAAUUCCUGGUGUAGCGGUGAAAUGCGCAGAUAUCAGGAGGAACACCGGUGGCGAAGGCGGGUCUCUGGGCCGAAACUGACGCUGAGGAGCGAAAGCGUGGGGAGCGAACAGGAUUAGAUACCCUGGUAGUCCACGCCGUAAACGUUGGGCGCUAGGUGUGGGGGCCAUUCCACGGUCUCCGUGCCGCAGCUAACGCAUUAAGCGCCCCGCCUGGGGAGUACGGCCGCAAGGCUAAAACUC